GACGAACGCUGGCGGCGUGCCUAAUACAUGCAAGUAGAACGCUGAAGAGAGGAGCUUGCUCUUCUUGGAUGAGUUGCGAACGGGUGAGUAACGCGUAGGUAACCUGCCUUGUAGCGGGGGAUAACUAUUGGAAACGAUAGCUAAUACCGCAUAACAAUGGAUGACACAUUUCAUUUAUUUGAAAGGGGCAAUUGCUCCACUACAAGAUGGACCUGCGUUGUAUUAGCUAGUAGGUGAGGUAAUGGCUCACCUAGGCGACGAUACAUAGCCGACCCGAGAGGGUGAUCGGCCACACUGGGACUGAGACACGGCCCAGACUCCUACGGGAGGCAGCAGUAGGGAAUCUUCGGCAAUGGGGGCAACCCUGAACGAGCAACGCCGCGUGAGUGAAGAAGGUUUUCGGAUCGUAAAGCUCUGUUGUAAGUCAAGAACGGGUGUGAGAGUGGAAAGUUCACACUGUGACGGUAGCUUAACAGAAAGGGACGGCUAACUACGUG
rnacentral:rRNA from 1 species